GAUGAACGCUGGCGGCGUGCCUAAUACAUGCAAGUCGAGCGAACAGACGAGGAGCUUGCUCCUCUGACGUUAGCGGCGGACGGGUGAGUAACACGUGGAUAACCUACCUAUAAGACUGGGAUAACUUCGGGAAACCGGAGCUAAUACCGGAUAAUAUAUUGAACCGCAUGGGUCAAUAGUGAAAGACGGUUUUGCUGUAUCUUAUAGAUGGUUCCGCGCCGCAUUAGCUAGUUGGUAAGGUAAAGGCUUACCAAGGCGACGAUGCGUAGCCGACCUGAGGGGGUGAUCGGCCACACUGGAACUGAGACACGGUCCAGACUCCUACGGGAGGCAGCAGUAGGGAAUCUUCCGCAAUGGGGGAAAGCCUGACGGAGCAACGCCGCGUGAGUGAUGAAGGUCUUCGGAUCGUAAAACUCUGUUAUUAGGGAAGAACAAAUGUGUAAGAAACUAUGCACGUCUUGACGGUACCUAAUAAGAAAGCCACGGCUAACUACGUG
rnacentral:rRNA from 1 species